CCUUGAUGGGUGUCAGGGAUGUUGCUGUGAUCACAGCCCUCCCAGUCAGACAAUAUUCUGCUAAGAAACCGCAUCACUCCAAUGGGUUCCCGUUUGCUUGUAAUUUUGCUGUUCUCCUCAGGUCGUGCUGUUAUUCAGUUUCCAUCUGUGCUGGUCACGAAGGGGCAGCCAGUGACCCUGAACUGUUCCCAGGAAAAAAUCAAUUAUGAUAACAUGUACUGGUACAAGCAAGAGUGGAGGAAGGAUGCUCCUCUUCAGCUGGUGAUUUUUUCAAUUAAAAAUGUGGAAGGAGAUGUUGAAAAGCCAUUCAAAGGUCGCUUCGUGAGCAGCGGAAUAACGAACAAUGCAUUAUCUAUAUCUGUGGCAAAUGCCCAGCCUGAUGAUAGCGGCACCUACUAUUGUGCAGAGCAAGAUUACACAGUGAGGCAACGGAUGAGGAAACCACACACAAACCUCCUCAUGGGCACCAGUGAUGAUACAAGAUAAGACAGAACAGAAGCUAAAUCCAAGAUCUUUUGCUGCCUGAGGAAAAGAAUCCUUUUUAAUUCAAACAGAACAUAGACUACCAGGACAAACUUCCGUGCCAGCCUCACUGAAACAGACAGGAGCUUUUAAGGGAUGACCAUUCUUGAAAGCCAAAAAUCUGUCAAGAGGCAGAGCUUCCCCCCCACACAAACACAAACCUUGCUGCAAACACUAGCCAAGGGGGCUAAGUUGUGGGUUGGAAGGAUGUGGGUUAGGUUGGGAUUAAAAAAGACUUGCUGAUUUUUCUUGUGGUGAUCUGACUUGUUCUGUCCAUGAGGGAAAUGAGCAGAAAAGAUGAGAGGCUGGGAAUUUCAAAGGUUCACUCCUGCUGCUGGCUUACUCUUCCCUGCAUCCUCCACCCUCAGUUUGUCCAUUUACUAUAAAUCUAUGGUUAUCAGCCUCCAAGUAGUGUUACCCAAAAUGUUGGUGUCUGCCCCUUUUAG